rnacentral:snRNA from 1 species
GUGUUCACUUCAGCAGCACAUAUACUAAAAUAGGAACAAUACAGAUAAGAUUAGCAUGGUCCCUACCUAAAAAUGGCAUGCAAAUUCGUGAAGCAUUCCAUAUUUUU